rnacentral:rRNA from 1 species
AUUGAACGCUAGCGGGAUGCCUUACACAUGCAAGUCGAACGGAGUGGCGAACGGGUGAGUAAUGUAUCGGAACGUGCCCAGUAGCGGGGGAUAACUACGCGAAAGCGUAGCUAAUACCGCAUACUAUUGGAGCGGCCGAUGUCGGUGUAGCUCGUUGGUGGGGUAAGGGCCCACCAAGUCGACGAUCCGUAGCUGGUUUUAGAGGACGACCAGCAACACUGGGACUGAGACACGGCCCAGACUCCUACGGGAGGCAGAAGUGUGGAAUUUUGGACAAUGGGGGAAACCCUGAUCCAGCCAUACCGCGUGUGCGAUGAAGGCCUUCGGGUUGUAAAGCACUUUUGGCAGGAAAGCGGUACCUGCAGAAUAAGCACCGGCUAACUACGUGCCAGCAGCCGCGGUAAUUC